rnacentral:rRNA from 1 species
UACGUAGGGCGCAAGCGUUGUCCGGAAUCAUUGGGCGUAAAGAGCUCGUAGGUGGUCUGUUACGUCUGCUGUGAAAUCCUAGGGCUUAACCCUGGGCCUGCAGUGGAUACGGGCAGACUAGAGGUAGGUAGGGGAGAAUGGAAUUCCCGGUGUAGCGGUGAAAUGCGCAGAUAUCGGGAGGAACACCGGUGGCGAAGGCGGGUCUCUGGGCCGAUAUUGACGCUGAGGAGCGAAAGCGUGGGGAGCGAACAGG